rnacentral:rRNA from 1 species
AGUGAACGCUGGCGGUAGGCCUAACACAUGCCAGUCGAACGGCAGCACAGUAAGAGCUUGCUCUUACGGGUGGCGAGUGGCGGACGGGUGAGGAAUACAUCGGAAUCUGCUUUUUCGUGGGGGAUAACGUAGGGAAACUUACGCUAAUACCGCAUACGACCUACGGGUGAAAGCAGGGGAUCUUCGGACCUUGCGCGAUUGAAUGGGCCGAUGUCGGAUUAGCUAGUUGGCGGGGUAAAGGCCCACCAAGGCGACGAUCCGUAGCUGGUCUGAGAGGAUGAUCAGCCACACUGGAACUGAGACACGGUCCAGACUCCUACGGGAGGCAGCAGUGGGGAAUAUUGGACAAUGGGCGCAAGCCUGAUCCAGCCAUACCGCGUGGGUGAAGAAGGCCUUCGGGUUGUAAAGCCCUUUUGUUGGGAAAGAAAAGCAGCAGGUUAAUACCCCGCUGUUCUGACGGUACCCAAAGAAUAAGCACCGGCUAACUUCGUG